AAACUAACAAGGAUUCCCCUAGUAACGGCGAGUGAAGCGGGAAGAGCUCAAAUUUGAAAGCUGGCCGCAAGGUCCGCAUUGUAAACUCGAGAAGUGUUUUCCGCGCUGGACUGUGUACAAGUCCCUUGGAAUAGGGCGUCGUAGAGGGUGAGAAUCCCGUACUUGAUGCAGCCCCCAGUGCUUUGUGAUACACUCUCCACGAGUCGAGUUGUUUGGGAAUGCAGCUCAAAAUGGGUGGUAAAUUCCAUCUAAAGCUAAAUAUUGGGGAGAGACCGAUAGCGAACAAGUACCGUGAGGGAAAGAUGAAAAGCACUUUGGAAAGAGAGUUAAACAGUACGUGAAAUUGUCGAAAGGGAAGCGCUUGAAGUCAGCCAUGCUGGCCGGGAUUCAGCCAUGCUUUUGCUAGGUGUAUUUCCCGGUGUUGCAGGCCAGCAUCGGUUUUGGCUGCUGGAUAAGGGUAGGAGAAAGGUAGCACCCUCGGGUGUGUUAUAGUCUCUUGCUGGAUACAGCGGCUGGGACCGAGGAACGCAGUGCGCCCGCAAGGGUGGGUCUUCGGACACCUUCGCACUUUGGAUGCUGGCAUAAUGGCUUUAAGCGAC
rnacentral:rRNA from 1 species